GCUGCGGGGCGGCCGGAAAGGCGCUGGCGGGGGCGCGGCGAGGCCUCCCGGGAGCGGCCUCUCCGCCCGGGUCGGCGCUGCCUUCGCUUCCCUGGACGCCUGGGGCAGACGGGCACCCAGGCGCCCUCGGCGCGCCCCUGAACCGGCGUGGCGUGACCCCCGGCGCGGGCGUGGCGUUCCUGGGGCCCCCACUAAGCAUGAGCGAGUCCUCGGGCACUGCCCGGCCUUGCUGCCUUUGGAGGAGCGAGAAGAGGCCGCGCUCUGCAGGCUUUCUCUAUGGUGGAAACUUUGAGAAAGGGAACCCUAGCGGAGAAGCCACUUGCUGGGGAAAGCAGAUGUUGUCCGCAGUGGCGGGUUUUGGGGGGCGGGGGACCUUUUCGUGACCGAGACAGGAUCAAAGCAGCGGGAGGGAAACACCCCGCCGCCCACCCUGCCGGCGGCAGAAGCCAGCGUGCGUUUCUCCAGUAGGUUUGCAGACACAGGAAGUAAACUUGAGUGGAGCGCGCCGGCCCGAGGAGGCGCCGCGACCAGGCCGGGGACAGGACGUGUCUCUUCUCCUGUCUCCAUCCUCCGCCCCGCGGGACGAGCGAGCGGACACGGCCAGGCGCGGCGCGCUCUCGGGUGGCUCCGGGCCUCGGGGGCCUGGCCGCGCCAGGGCGCAGAUGCUGGCUGCACCGUCUUCCUCGUCCGCCUGUGCCGGGACAGGUGGGGCAGGCCACCCCUGAGCUCAGGUCGCUGGCUUGGUCCUGGCGGCGGGGAGGAGGUGGGGAGCGUGCCCAGGGCGCCGGCCGGGGCUCCUGGAGCCGCUUGGCACCUCAUCUUCCACGUGGCAGCCAGAGCCGGGCGCGCCCUGCCUGUUGCUGCGAUCCGGCACACUGGACCCCGCAGGAAUUUCAUCCAUGGACUCGGGGCUCAGCCUCAGUUUGGGCCUGUUCAGGCCACGGCAUUGAAGCUAACCUCUGGACCCGGUCUCCAGCAUGCCCUGCUGCUGGUGACAUGAACCACCGGGCCCUGCACACCGACUGGGUCCUGAUCCCCUAGGCCUCCUUCCAGCAGCCGGGAUCAUGGAGGCCCAGGGGCUCCCGCAGCAUCAGGAAGGCUCCCACUUCCCCAUUUUGGGGCCUGCGGACAGACACAGAGCCACCGCCUAUAAUUAGCAAUAAUAAUGCCCAUAAUAGUAAUUACUAAUCACCAGCUCCGUAAUGAGGCUGUAAUUUCUCUGCUCAGAGUCAGGUUUUCUUCCUGUCGGUGCUGUCACCCACCCACCACCCGCCCUCCCAGGAUCCUGCCCUCUCCAGAAGCCCCGUGCAACGGCCUGGGCUCCUUUCCUGCUGUGACAGAUUCCGGGAGGCAGGGGCGGGCAUUCGGCAGCCCGCUCUGGGAAGUCCCUAACCACAGCUUCCCCCUGCUUCACAGCCCACCCCCAGCCACCCCCAACCCCUUCGUCCCUACAUCUAAAACAGACCAAAGGGCCAGUUUCACCACUGUCCUGUUUAGCAAACCCCAGAGUCACAUUUCAGGGCGACAGGUAAACACAGGUGAGAUAAGCCCUCCUGUGUGACCAGAAGAGUGAGGUGGAAUGUAAGCGAGUGUCAGGAUCCAGACACAAGGCUCGAUCGCCUCCUCCCCUCACCCGACCAGCGAAGGCCCGUCCGGACUUCCGCCUCACUGUAGCCGUCGGAACCUGGGGGUGGGGGGUAGAGAGGCAGCAGGCUUUGUCCUGACCCUCACCCAGCGCAGCCAUGCCGCCCCACUCUGCCCUGUCUGUAUUAUCUCCCUUCAGGUCAGGAGAUGAUUUUAGGCUCCUGAAGACACCAGGUGGGCGAGUGGGAAAAACCCACUGGAUACUGAGCCUGAGGAUUAGCCAGUUACAGAGGAAUUGGAACUAGAAAGGACUGUGGACUUGCCCCAAGGGGGCCAUGGAAAGUCUUGCACAAACGGAACCAGGAAGCAAGAAGCAAACUGCUUCCAAAGCAUCCCGUUGGAGAGGGGGAGAGGCGCGGAGGGCCGAGGAUCCCGCGGCCCGGCAUAGCUGAGCACAUGCUCAGCAUCAAACGGUUAAGUCCGGCCCAGGAAGGGCCAGGGGGCCUGGCCGGGAGACUGGCUCCUGCCCCGCACUGGGCCUGACUUGAAUAUCCUCUUAAUGCGGGCGCAGCUCGCCAGCUCCGCCCUUCCGGGUCCGCGACCGUCCCUCCGCUGGCAGGAGAGGCGCGGGGCAGAUGGGGGGAGAGCCAGGUCCUGGUGGGGCUCCUGCCGUCGAAAACCGACGGCCUCCAGCGCGGUACAUCCGGAUGGGCGAGCCGGGAAAGGCCCGCUUCCCGGGCCCUCAGGCCCAGUUCCCGCCUGCCACGGGGGUGGCUCGGGCGGGUCCGACCGCUAGUCUGGAGGCUGCUCCUGCCAAGCGCCCCCCUCCCUGUCCCCGCUCCGUCACCACUAAGCCAGAGGCAGGGCCGCCCAGCGGUGCGAAACCAGACCUAGGGGUCGCUGCGCGGCCGGAUCGGAGCUCCGCCCGGCCGGCGUCCGGGCUCGGGGCUGAGCGCUCCGGUGCUCGGUCAAGGACCUCCACUCAUGGACCCACGGCAGUUGGCCCGGGUCACCAGCGCGGCCCUGCAGAGCUCCACAGUGGCAGUUGACAGGGACCUUCUGGCUAGAAAGCCCGGGCUCCUGGCACGCUCAGGCUAGAACCUCUCCUCCCAGCAUCCCCCGCAUAUUUACAUAAGGAUGAAAGUAAAGCAAACAGCAUCCUCGUUCACAAUUGCAUUUCUCCCGAAAGAAUUCCCCCCUGUUUUGAAGCUCCCCGGACCUAGCUCUGAAGAGUGGGAGGAAGCUCUUGGGGGCAACGCCCACUCACUGGAGCCACUGCGGGGACCUGCCUUUGGCGGCUAGAAUGAGGCGACGAAGCCCUUCUCCGGGAUGCUGCGGGCAGCGCCGCGGCCUCGUCGCCGGCCUUGCAAGAUGGCCAUUCUUUGCUGUGCAGAUGGCGCGGCUGCUCGGCGCCCUGACCCGCCCCGGCCCCCGCGCGAACCCCGGCCAAACCCCCGCCCCGACGCGAGCGCCCUGAUUUAUGGGUCUUGUUAAAUACUCAUUAGGACUCUGCACCUUUCUCCAGCAGGACCCAGGAAGCCACCCGGCUCGGCGACAGCGAGGCGAGCGUCCAACAGUCCCAGGCAGCCAAGACCCACGCGGAAGCGCACAGCUGGAACCCCGCCGCCCACGGACGCCAGGCCAGGGACUAGGUCGGGCCGGCUGUGCUGAUCCCGCGGCCCUCUCGGCCUGGACCCCUGGGUGCGCCGCCAGCGUUCUCUGCCACGCCAAGCCACGGCGCGCGUGGGGGGUCAGGGAACCCUGUGCCGCCUCCCGGCCCAGGGUGCCACGCAGUGGGCUCUGUGAGCGUGAGCGGGCGAGACUGCUGGGACCCCGCGGCGACACGGGCGCCCCUUGGCGGGACUAGCGGAGUGGGGCCGGCGGGGGGAGAUGCCUAGAGACUCCAGGAAAACCCGGGCAGGGAAAGGCCCAGAAGCGAGGGACGCAGACGGUCAGAUGCUCCCAGCAGUGCCGCCGUGAAGUGCGAGCCUGGCUUCUCGGAAGGCGGCCGCCCGGAGAAGUGCGCCAUGGCGCCUGCAGCCUCCAGAGCCAGCUCGAGUUUCCCAGCAGCGCAGGCUACAGAAACGGACGCAGUGGCCUGGCCUGGAGUGCUGCGAUGUCGCCGUCCCCGAGUGUCGGAGGAAGUGAACUACAUGCGCGUGCACACGCGUAAAUAUUUUAUAAACCUCCCCUUAAUUAAGCAGAUCAUUUCCAUUAUGCCUCCAAUAUGAUCAACAGCAACGGUGUGAGGGUUUUCAAGGUUUAUAAUUUGAUGUCACCAGACGGUUGCUCGGGGGCAGAGUGCAAGAUGACAACUGACUAUUUGAGGACUUACUUCAGGAUCAGUAUUUGUAAUGAAGUGGUGCAUCCUUCUGGAAAAUUCUAGCCCAGCUCAACUGGGUCCCUGAGGCACUCACACCAACAGCAGAAAGAUGGUCCCGGUAAUCAAACUCAUGGGAAUGAAAGCUACCAUGGCCCGGACUUUGACCUUAACCCUUAAUUCUUAAAUUAUGGAAGAAUUUCAUUUCCUCUUGUUUUCCAAAACCAUGAGCAGAGAAUUCCAAGCCAUGCCUUCCUUUCUGAGAGACUCCGAUGUUGUGUCUAGGUAAAGCAUUAAGGGGGUGUGCCAUGUGCUGGAAAUCUAACAGGAUUUCUGUAUUUUCUGUGCUCAAAUAGCUGUGGAAGCAGGCAGCUUCAUUUCCUCCUCUAUCCUGGGUGAUGGGCAGAAUUUUCUAGCCCUGGCAAUGGAAUUUCAGCAGAGAAACGCAUGUAUGGGGGCGAGGGUUGGGACUGCACCGCCCUUUCCCUGAAGAUAGAGCAGGAACUGAGAACACCUCCGAUCCACUUGAUUGAAUCCCACGGUCAUUUUCAUUAAUAUUUCAUUAAUCAAAUAAUUUAUUUUAAUUGCAGGUUUGGUCACCACUGCCCCAUAAAUAUUAAAUAGUAUUAAUAUGGUUUUCAACUAAGCAGGAAUGGGCUUAAAAGAAAAAUACAACGGUGAUAAGAAUUACGAAUUUUUUGUUUCUUUUUCGAAUCCCUGAUUUUUAUCAUAGCUGUGCAUUUUAAAAUUGAUGCUCUAACAACCAG